rnacentral:rRNA from 1 species
UACAUGAAGUUGGAAUUGCUAGUAAUCGCAGAUCAGAAUGCUGCGGUGAAUACGUUCCCGGGCCUUGUACACACCGCCCGUCACACCAUGGGAGCCGGUAAUACCCGAAGUCAGUAGUCUAACCGCAAGGGGGACGCUGCCGAAGGUAGGAUUGGCGACUGGGGUGAAGUCGUAACAAGGUAAC